rnacentral:rRNA from 1 species
GACGAACGCUGGCGGCGUGCCUAAUACAUGCAAGUUGAGCGCUGAAGGUUGGUACUUGUACCAACUGGAUGAGCAGCGAACGGGUGAGUAACGCGUGGGGAAUCUGCCUUUGAGCGGGGGACAACAUUUGGAAACGAAUGCUAAUACCGCAUAAAAACUUUAAACACAAGUUUUAAGUUUGAAAGAUGCAAUUGCAUCACUCAAAGAUGAUCCCGCGUUGUAUUAGCUAGUUGGUGAGGUAAAGGCUCACCAAGGCGGUGAUACAUAGCCGACCUGAGAGGGUGAUCGGCCACAUUGGGACUGAGACACGGCCCAAACUCCUACGGGAGGCAGCAGUAGGGAAUCUUCGGCAAUGGACGAAAGGCUGACCGAGCAACGCCGCGUGAGUGAAGAAGGUUUUCGGAUCGUAAAACUCUGUUGGUAGAGAAGAACGUUGGUGAGAGUGGAAAGCUCAUCAAGUGACGGUAACUACCCAGAAAGGGACGGCUAACUACGUG